rnacentral:rRNA from 1 species
GACGAACGUUGGCGGCGUGCUUAAUACAUGCAAGUCAACUGAAGCAGUGGUAGCAAUAUCGCUGUGGAGGUGGCGCACGGGUGAGUAACACGUAGGUAAUCUGCCUUCAGGUCUGGCAUAACUCCGGGAAACCGGGGCUAAUAGCAGAUGAUGCAGCGGCUCGACAUCGAGACAGUUGUUAAAGCUAUGGCGCCUGAAGAUGAGCCUGCGUCUGAUUAGCUAGUUGGCGGGGUAACGGCCCACCAAGGCAACGAUCAGUAGCUGGUCUGAGAGGAUGAUCAGCCACACUGGAACUGAGACACGGUCCAGACUCCUACGGGAGGCAGCAGUAAGGAAUAUUGCUCAAUGGGAGAAAUCCUGAAGCAGCAGCGCCGCGUGAGGGACGAAGGGCUUUUGCUUGUAAACCUCUGUAGUGAGAGAAAAAAAUCCCAAUCUUUGGGACAUGAUGGUAUCUCAAAAGUAAGCCCCGGCUAACUACGUG